GUUUGCACUUGUCGGAGAAGGGUGAGAACCUUCGAUUAAGGUUCGACUCGAGCGAAAGCGAGAGAACGUUGCCAACGGCAACGGCCCGUAGGGUGAGGAGCGAAGCGACGAAUAAUCCUUCCCCCACCACCA
rnacentral:sRNA from 1 species